UACGUAGGUGGCGAGCGUUAUCCGGAAUUAUUGGGCGUAAAGAGCGCGCAGGUGGUUGAUUAAGUCUGAUGUGAAAGCCCACGGCUUAACCGUGGAGGGUCAUUGGAAACUGGUCGACUUGAGUGCAGAAGAGGGAAGUGGAAUUCCAUGUGUAGCGGUGAAAUGCGUAGAGAUAUGGAGGAACACCAGUGGCGAAGGCGGCUUCCUGGUCUGUAACUGACACUGAGGCGCGAGAGCGUGGGGAGCAAACAGGAUUAGA
rnacentral:rRNA from 1 species